GCGGAGGAAAAGAAACCAACAGGGAUUGCCCCAGUAACGGCGAGUGAAGCGGCAACAGCUCAAAUUUGAAAUCUGGUCCCCUCUGGGGGCCCGAGUUGUAAUUUGAAGAGGAUGCUUCUGGCGAGGCGCCGACCGAGUUCCCUGGAACGGGACGCCAUAGAGGGUGAGAGCCCCGUACGGUCGGAUGCCGAGCCUCUGUGAAGCUCCUUCGACGAGUCGAGUAGUUUGGGAAUGCUGCUCAAAAUGGGAGGUAAACCCCUUCUAAAGCUAAAUACCGGCCAGAGACCGAUAGCGCACAAGUAGAGUGAUCGAAAGAUGAAAAGCACUUUGAAAAGAGAGUUAAAAAGCACGUGAAAUUGUUGAAAGGGAAGCGCUUGCGACCAGACUUGCGCCCGUCGGAUCAGCCGUCCCUCGCGGGCGGCGCACUCCGGCGGGCUCAGGCCAGCAUCGGUUCGCCCGGUGGGAGAAAGGCGGCGGGAACGUGGCUCUACGGAGUGUUAUAGCCCGCCGUGCAAUACCACCAGGCGGACCGAGGACCGCGCGUAGCA
rnacentral:sRNA from 1 species